UACGAAGGGGGCUAGCGUUGCUCGGAAUCACUGGGCGUAAAGCGCACGUAGGCGGGUCCUUAAGUCAGGGGUGAAAUCCUGGAGCUCAACUCCAGAACUGCCUUUGAUACUGAGGAUCUCGAGUUCGGGAGAGGUGAGUGGAACUGCGAGUGUAGAGGUGAAAUUCGUAGAUAUUCGCAAGAACACCAGUGGCGAAGGCGGCUCACUGGCCCGAUACUGACGCUGAGGUGCGAAAGCGUGGGGAGCAAACAGG
rnacentral:rRNA from 1 species